UGAUAAUUGAAAAUUCUCCACGCUGAUUGGUUGCCGUUGAGGUGAUUAUAACGCCAUUUUCAAAGUUUUGUCAAUUAAAUGACGAAGAAAUGUGUAUUUUUUUUUAUUUUUUCUAAACAAUCACCUAUCAAAUUAUACUAGAACAAUUAUAUUCACCGAUAAUCACCUCGCCUUCGGCGAAUAAUUGUUAAUUAACUUUUUUGAGACAUGCAACUCGUAGUGAGUCAUUAAAACGCAAAGAAGGGCUUGAUUUCAAAUGAUUUACAUUUCGUCGAGACUGAAUAUAAAUAUAAGCUGAUUUCUUUUAUUUAUUUGCGGCGGGCUUACGGUAACUGUAACUGUAAGGAAAAUUUAAGACGCUGAAAAGUUACAAUGUCACCGAUAAAUCUAGACAUAUUAUAGACAGUCUGAACCAAAUGCGUGAUAUGAGCCGUUUUUAUGCAAUACUUCCUUUUAUCUCGCUACUUUUAUUGAAGAUCUGAACUGCACUAUGCAGUUUAUAAGUAGAAUCUAGUUAAUCAGUCUUUAUACAUGUUAUAUAAAGUAAUAUUAUUAAUAUUAUAUGUACAAUUUACGGGGUUCUUAGUCCUAAACUGUACUAGUAUUAUACCGCUACAUAAUAUUGUAUUGUAUUGAUGAUAUAUUGUAUUGAAAAGUAUUCAAAAUACAUGUAUUCAAUUUCUGUUUGAGAUUCCGUAGUCUUUUAUAGCGCAAACCUUCCUCCCCGGUGCAAAAUCAAUGAAAAGUUCGUUUAUG